UACGAAGGGGGCUAGCGUUGCUCGGAAUCACUGGGCGUAAAGCGCACGUAGGCGGCUUCUUAAGUCAGGGGUGAAAUCCUGGAGCUCAACUCCAGAACUGCCUUUGAUACUGAGGAGCUCGAGUCCGGGAGAGGUGAGUGGAACUCCGAGCGUAGAGGUGAAAUUCGUAGAUAUUCGGAAGAACACCAGUGGCGAAGGCGGCUCACUGGCCCGGUACUGACGCUGAGGUGCGAAAGCGUGGGGAGCAAACAGG
rnacentral:rRNA from 1 species